UGCCAGCCGCCGCGGUAACACGAACCGGACGAACGUUAUUCGGAAUUACUGGGCUUAAAGAGUACGUAGGCGGCCAGGUAGGUGGGGUGUGAAAGCCCACGGCUCAACCGUGGAAUUGCGCUCCAAACCACUUGGCUUGAGGGAGACAGGGGUAAGCGGAACUGAUGGUGGAGCGGUGAAAUGCGUUGAUAUCAUCAGGAACACCAGUGGCGAAGGCGGCUUACUGGGUCUCUUCUGACGCUGAGGUACGAAAGCGUGGGGAGCAAACAGGAUUAGAUA
rnacentral:rRNA from 1 species